UACGUAGGGUGCAAGCGUUAAUCGGAAUUACUGGGCGUAAAGCGUGCGCAGGCGGUUUUGUAAGUCUGUCGUGAAAGCCCCGGGCUCAACCUGGGAAUUGCGAUGGAGACUGCAAGGCUUGAAUCUGGCAGAGGGGGGUAGAAUUCCACGUGUAGCAGUGAAAUGCGUAGAGAUGUGGAGGAACACCGAUGGCCGAAGGCAGCCCCCUGGGUCAAGAUUGACGCUCAUGCACGAAAGCGUGGGGAGCAAACAGG
rnacentral:rRNA from 1 species